CUCUGUGGCCCCUCUCUCUCUCUGUGACCCCUCUCUCUCUCUCUGGCCCCUCUCUCUCUCUCUGGCCCCUCUCUCUCUCUCUCUGGCCCCUCUCUGUUGGGGUGAACUCCUCAGGGCCAGCCCACCUGCCACCCCAGGCAAGGGAAGGAAAGUAAUUGGGACCCAACAUGUACUGACACUGAAGCGUAGUGUGGAACAAAUACACAGAAAAGAUCCUAGGAGCUUUCUAGAGACGAUCCACACUGUUACAAUAGGACAUUUACACGUCCGUCAUUUAGCAAGACACUCUUAGACACUUACAGGAGCAAUUAGAGUUAAGUGCCUUGCUCAAGAGCACAUUGUAAGAUGUUUCACUUAGUCGGCUCCGGGAUUCGAACCUGUGACCUUUUUUUUGGUUAAUGGCCCAAUGCUCUGGACCGCUAGGCUACCUGCCGCCCUCACAUGGUAUUCACAUGGUAUUCACAUGGUAUGACAUGGUAUUCACAUGGUAUGACAUGGUAUUCACAUGGGACCACAUAACUAUGACAUGGCAUCACAUGAUAUCACAAUAGGACCUCAUGGUAUCACAAUAGGACCUCAUGGUAUCACAGUAGGAUCUCAUGGUAUCACAAUAGGACCUCAUGGUAUCACAGUAGGAUCUCAUGGUAUCACAGUAGGACCUCAUGGUAUCACAGUAGGAUCUCAUGGUAUCACAGUAGGACCUCAUGGUAUCACAGUAGGACCUCAUGGUAUCACAGUAGGACCUCAUGGUAUCACAAUAGGACCUCAUGGUAUCACAGUAGGACCUCAUGGUAUCACAAUAGGACCUCAUGGUAUCACAAUAGGACCUCAUGGUAUCACAGUAGGACCUCAUGGUAUCACAAUAGGACCUCAUGGUAUCACAAUAGGACCUCAUGGUAUCACAAUAGGACCUCAUGGUAUCACAAUAGGACCUCAUGGUAUCACAGUAGGACCUCAUGGUACCACAGUAGGACCUCAUGGUAUCACAGUAGGACCUCAUGGUAUCACAGUAGGACCUCAUGGUAUCACAGUAGGACCUCAUGGUAUCACAGUAGGACCUCAUGGUAUCACAGUAGGAUCUCAUGGUAUCACAGUAGGACCUCAUGGUAUCACAAUAGGACCUCAUGGUAUCACAGUAGGACCUCAUGGUAUCACAAUAGGACCUCAUGGUAUGACAUGUAUUAUUCCUCUGUAUUUUCACUAUUAUUACAUUACUCAAAUGUUUAUAAUAUACCAUGUGAUAUAUUCUAUAUAUUUUAAGACAAUCUGUAUCUGAUUAACUUGUCAGCGUGUAUGUAAACGGUUUGUUUCUGUUUUGUUGUGUGAGCUUCAAACUUUGUGUGUUUUUUUUUCGGGUACCACAGUCGAGGCUGUUUUACCUGUUGUGAUGGGAGGGUUGUUGGGUGUAAUGGAAACAUCUUUCACACGUGUGAUUCUAAGCACUUUCCAAAGAGUAACUUACAUUAUCUGUGACAAUUUAUAAUUUACAGUAAUAUUUUUGGACCUUUAUUUUUUUUUUUGUCGUUCAGUUGAACUUUGAUACAUAGACAACUGCUCUAUACUAUGAUCAGGUUUGGUGCCUGACUUCCUGCACUAUACUAUGAUCAGGUUUGGUGCCUGACUUCCUGCACUAUACUAUGAUCAGGUAUGCUGCCUGACUUCCUGCUCUAUACUAUGAUCAGGUAUGCUGCCUGACUUCCUGCUCUAUACUAUGAUCAGGUAUGGUGCCUGACUUCCUGCUCUAUACUAUGAUCAGGUAUGCUGCCUGACUUCCUGCACUAUACUAUGAUCAGGUUUGGUGCCUGACUUCCUGCACUAUACUAUGAUCAGGUUUGGUGCCUGACUUCCUGCACUAUACUAUGAUCAGGUAUGCUGCCUGACUUCCUGCUCUAUACUAUGAUCAGGUAUGCUGCCUGACUUCCUGCUCUAUACUAUGAUCAGGUAUGCUGCCUGACUUCCUGCUCUAUACUAUGAUCAGGUAUGCUGCCUGACUUCCUGCACUAUACUAUGAUCAGGUAUGGUGCCUGACUUCCUGUACCAUACUAUGAUCAGGUAUGGUGCCUGACUUCCUGCUCUAUACUAUGAUCAGGUAUGGUGCCUGACUUCCUGUACCAUACUAUGAUCAGGUAUGGUGCCUGACUUCCUGUACCAUACUAUGAUCAGGUAUGGUGCCUGACUUCCUGUACCAUACUAUGAUCAGGUAUGGUGCCUGACUUCCUGCACUUACUGAGGAUGAUGUCGUACUUUCACGUGAGGUAUCAUGGGUAAAUUGUGACUGACUGAUGUACAGAUAAUAUUGAGUAGUUAUUUAUGUUGCAAGGUGGUUCGUAGAUCAGCCAGUCUCGGCUCGACCUUUAAAGUCGGCGGCCAUGUCUAACGGUCCCAUUUUUUGUUUUUUUUUUUUUUUGGAGUGGGAACACGCAUAGACCAUGUUAUAUACAUGAUAUACACACAUAGACCAUGUAUGAUUUAAUUGUAUUACCAUAUUUACGAGACUUUUUCUCCUGUAACUUUCACAGGAGUGUUUUAUUCAUGAAUCCUUUUUUUGUAUCGUUGGAAAUACAUUGGAUAAAAACCAAAACAGCUGAGACGACCCCCAUAAUAUAAAA